rnacentral:rRNA from 1 species
GACGAACGCUGGCGGCGUGCUUAACACAUGCAAGUCGAACGGAAAGGCCCUGCUUUUGUGGGGGGCUCGAGUGGUGAAAGGGUGAGUAACACGUGAGUAACCUGCCCUUGACUUUGGGAUAACUUCAGGAAACUGGGGCUAAUACCGGAUAGGAGCUCCUGCUGCAUGGUGGGGGUUGGAAAGGUUCGGCGGGUGGGGGUGGACUCGCGGCUUAUCAGGUUGUUGGUGGGGGAGUGGCUUACCAAGGCUUUGACGGGUAGCCGGCCUGAGAGGGUGACCGGCCACAUUGGGACUGAGAUACGGCCCAGACUCCUACGGGAGGCAGCAGUGGGGAAUAUUGCACAAUGGGCGGAAGCCUGAUGCAGCAACGCCGCGUGCGGGAUGACGGCCUUCGGGUUGUAAACCGCUUUCGCCUGUGACGAAGCGUGAGUGACGGUAAUGGGUAAAGAAGCACCGGCUAACUACGUG